CCUGACGCGUCCUCUCCCUGAUGUCACCCGGCGGCGCCGCGGAGCUGGCUGCUGUCACCUGCUGAGUGGUCAGCGUUCUCGAGUCCGUGCGAGUGCGCCAGCACAUUCCUGCGAUGAAAAAUAAAAACGUUAGAAAACUUGUCCGGUUUAGCAGAACAAACCUACUCUGCUGGGACUCAAGAGUGGACAAGGAGGAUGGAAGUAACAUCUGUAUACAUCUGCUCCGUGUAAAAUGCCAACC
rnacentral:lncRNA from 1 species